AGAGUAAAAGAUCAAAACUUAUAUACUUGAAAAACAUAUCAUCAUGUUGGAUUAUGACUUCAAAGUUCUUUUUAUGAUAAUAAGAGCAUUGGGGCACAAAUACCAAAAUAUGAAUUCAUGCAAUUUAUGAUAUAUCUUAGAGCUCUUUUAAGGACUUUCUUUUAUUCCUUUAGAAAAUAAGCACGAUUUGAUACAUAUAUAAAAAUAUGAGUUGGCACAAUAUUGAAGUUCUAAAGAGCAAGCCAAUUAGGACUCAUUAGUGAAUUCCAAAAUAGAUUUUCUACGAGAUACUCAAGAAAAUUUAACAUGUUAUUCUUCCCUUUUUUCAUUAAAUUAGAGGCUCUUAAGAUCAACUAUUUGAAUUGCAAUUUGGUUCAUGAUUUGUGCAGAAGAUAUAUUAACAAAAUAACAUGCCUCAAGGUGUAUCAUAAAGAUUUUCAGAUUUAAAUUUCAGAUGAUACAUAUUGGAGAGUAUUAGGAUCACUUUUCAUUUAGUAUUCUUUCCCUACUCCUAUAGAUUUAUGUAAUUAAGUUCCGUGAGACCUCUCCUUCUG
rnacentral:lncRNA from 1 species